CAGUCGCCACGGGAAUACGGAGGGUGCAAGCGUUAAUCGGAAUUACUGGGCGUAAAGCGCACGCAGGCGGUCUGACAAGUCAGAUGUGAAAUCCCCGGGCUUAACCUGGGAACUGCAUUUGAAACUGUCAGGCUGGAGUCUUGUAGAGGGGGGUGGAAUUCCAGGUGUAGCGGUGAAAUGCGUAGAGAUCUGGAGGAAUACCGGUGGCGAAGGCGGCCCCCUGGACAAAGACUGACGCUCAGGUGCGAAAGCGUGGGGAGCAAACAGGAUUAGAGACCCCUGUAGUCCCUGUCUCUUAUAC
rnacentral:rRNA from 1 species